AAGAAGCGACCACGCGAGUGUGAGCGAAUCUCAAAAAUAACGUCUCAGUUCGGAUUGUAGUCUGCAACUCGACUACAUGAAGCUGGAAUCGCUAGUAAUCGCGGAUCAGAAUGCCGCGGUGAAUACGUUCCCGGGUCUUGUACACACCGCCCGUCACACCAUGGGAGUCAGUAACGCCCGAAGCCGGUGACCCAACCUAACAAGGAGGGAGCCGUCGAAGGCGGGACGGAUGACUGGGGUGAAGUCGUAACAAGGUAAC
rnacentral:rRNA from 1 species